UAACUACUCAAGCCUGGCUUGGUGUUGGGGUCCGCGGUCUCGCGGCCCUUAAAAUCAGUGGCGGUGCCGUCUGGCUCUAAGCGUAGUAAUGCUCUCGCUAUAGGGUCUCUCGGUUUCCUGCCAGAACCCCCCAUUUUCUCA
rnacentral:misc_RNA from 1 species